AUCGCUUCCAGCCUAUUGACUAAGAUCAAGUACAGUGUGGGUUCUUGUCAGUUUAAUAUCUGAUACUUUCCCUAUCCGGGGACCAUAUAGUACAUGGGUUUUUCAGUAUGAUGGCCCAUGUGGAAGCUUGCUUCCAUCGCCCCAUGCAUUGUCCCACUUUGGUGGUAUUUUUGGGUACCAUACAACAAAA